AUUGAACGCUGGCGGCAGGCUUAACACAUGCAAGUCGAGCGGAAACGAUGAUAGCUUGCUAUCAGGCGUCGAGCGGCGGACGGGUGAGUAACGCGUAGGAAUCUGCCCAGUAGAGGGGGACAACAUGUGGAAACGCAUGCUAAUACCGCAUACGCCCUUAGGGGGAAAGGAGGGGAUCUUAGGACCUUCCGCUAUUGGAUGAGCCUGCGUGAGAUUAGCUAGUUGGUGGGGUAAAGGCUUACCAAGGCGACGAUCUCUAACUGGUCUGAGAGGAUGACCAGUCACACUGGGACUGAGACACGGCCCAGACUCCUACGGGAGGCAGCAGUGGGGAAUAUUGGACAAUGGGCGCAAGCCUGAUCCAGCCAUGCCGCGUGUGUGAAGAAGGCCUUAGGGUUGUAAAGCACUUUCAGGAGUGAGGAAGGGCGUUUGGUUAAUACCUGAAUGUCUUGACGUUAGCUCCAGAAGAAGCACCGGCUAACUCUG
rnacentral:rRNA from 1 species